CCUGAUCCAGCCAUGCCGCGUGAGUGAUGAAGGCCUUAGGGUUGUAAAGCUCUUUUACCAGGGAAGAUAAUGACAGUACCCGGGGAAUAAGCUCCGGCUAACUUCGUGCCAGAAGACGCGGGAAUACGGAGGGAGCUAGCGUUGUUCGGAAUCACUGGGCGUAAAGCGCGCGCAGGCGGCUAUUUAAGUCAGAGGUGAAAGCCCGGGGCUCAACCCUGGUAUUGCCUUUGAAACUAUAUAGCUAGAAUAUCGGAGAGGUGAGUGGAAUUCCGAGUGUAGAGGUGAAAUUCGCAUAUAUUCGGAAGAACACCAGAGGCGAAGGCGACUCACUGGACGACGAUUGACGCUGUGGUGCGAAAGUGUGGGGAGCAAACAGGAUUAGAUACCCUGGUAGUCCACACCGCAAACGAUGAGAACUAUCUGUUGGGGGUCAUAGACUUUCAGCGGCGCAGUUAACGCAUUA
rnacentral:rRNA from 1 species